rnacentral:tRNA from 1 species
AAAGUCCCGAAUGACA